UUGGUGCGCUCCUCUUUUCCCUCCGAUUCGGCAGAUGCUAACGGAGCUACUUUACAAGAAGGAAAAACCCCUUCCUUUUGCAGAGUAAAAAACAUUGAAAACCUUAAAAUCUUCUGCUUCAUUGAAAAAAAAAAGAACAAGAUCGAAACCAGAGUUGCCUCAUUGUUCGCCGCCGUAGGACUCUGGAGCAGUGGAAGCAUGUCCUCCGGAGAAAUAAAUCACGCCUCUUCAUCUGGCAGUCUGACAGACACAUCUGGGAUGAGGAAGAGGAU